rnacentral:rRNA from 1 species
GAUGAACGCUGGCGGCGUGCCUAAUACAUGCAAGUCGAGCGAACGGACGAGAAGCUUGCUUCUCUGAUGUUAGCGGCGGACGGGUGAGUAACACGUGGAUAACCUACCUAUAAGACUGGGAUAACUUCGGGAAACCGGAGCUAAUACCGGAUAAUAUUUUGAACCGCAUGGUUCAAAAGUGAAAGACGGUCUUGCUGUCACUUAUAGAUGGAUCCGCGCUGCAUUAGCUAGUUGGUAAGGUAACGGCUUACCAAGGCAACGAUGCAUAGCCGACCUGAGAUGGUGAUCGGCCACACUGGAACUGAGACACGGUCCAGACUCCUACGGGAGGCAGCAGUAGGGAAUCUUCCGCAAUGGGCGAAAGCCUGACGGAGCAACGCCGCGUGAGUGAUGAAGGUCUUCGGAUCGUAAAACUCUGUUAUUAGGGAAGAACAUAUGUGUAAGUAACUGUGCACAUCUUGACGGUACCUAAUCAGAAAGCCACGGCUAACUACGUG